GACAGCAUAGCUUUGCUGCUUUGAGUGACAGACCUGAUGGUGCAUCUAACCUGAUGGUUGGAUUUGAAAAUGCGAUUGCAACUUGGGUUCCCAGAAUGAGACACCUUUAUCUUCUCUGAGGUCUGAAAAAGAAUCUUCCUGCAGAAUAGAGGCAUCUGUCCUCAGCUGAAAAAAACAGUGUGAACUACCCUGAGGGGCUGAACAUGACAGGGUUGAACAGAGAUAAAAGAAGGACCGUGCUUAAAAGAAAUGCUGUAAGUUCAGCUUAUAAAGCUGCAAAGCAUGAAAGCUGGGAGAGCUAGCAGGAGAAAUGUAUGGAAAUGUAAUUUCAUUUUGUAUUACAAAUCUAACUGGAAAAUUUUAAAACCAAAGCAGAAUAGACAUUGUCUCCAAGAGGACUGUAA
rnacentral:lncRNA from 1 species